rnacentral:rRNA from 1 species
AAUCCUGGCUCAGGAUGAACGCUAGCGACAGGCUUAACACAUGCAAGUCGAGGGGCAGCGGGGAGUAGCAAUACUCUGCCGGCGACCGGCGCACGGGUGAGUAACGCGUAUGUAACCUGCCUUAUACAGGGGGAUAGCCCAUGGAAACGUGGAUUAAUAUCCCAUAGUACUGAGAAUCCGCAUGGUUUUUCAGUUAAAGCUUCGGUGGUAUAAGAUGGACAUGCGUCCUAUUAGGUAGUUGGUCGGGUAACGG